rnacentral:misc_RNA from 1 species
AUAACACUCAUGCAAGCUUGUUAGUAUGAUAUUAAUUUGUAUCAUUGUCCCCUUUCUAAGAUCCUCGUGGAUGUUGCUGUAAUGAUUGAAAAGUUGAUGAGAGAUUCUUUCGAGGUUAUGUUAGGAUUGCUUGGGGGAUCACUUUGUCAACUGGAGAAAUUUGGUUUUCUAAGAUCAUCCUAACUGGGAAGUGCUCAUGGUGUUUCCUUUAGAAUCUUAUUCCCUUUGGCUUAGAGUAAUUAGGAGUAAGUAAGGCCUAAUAUAAUAGGUGGAAUGCUAGGAUAGAUUUAUGAAUCAUGAGAAUCUUUAGAAAUUGAAAACCAAGGUAUCUUUCUUUUAUUGU